AACGUAGGAGACAAACGUUAUCCGGAGUUACUGGGCGUAAAGGGCGUGUAGGUGGUAUCGUAAGUCUGGCGUGAAAUUUCUCGGCUUAACCGAGGCAGGUCGUCGGAUACUGCGGAACUGGAGGACGGUAGAGGCGUGUGGAAUUCCGGGUGUAGUGGUGAAAUGCGUAGAGAUCCGGAGGAACACCAGUGGCGAAGGCGACACGCUGGGCCGUACCUGACACUGAUGCGCGACAGCAUGGGGAGCAAACAGG
rnacentral:rRNA from 1 species